CUUUUUUGUUCUCCCUGUGGGGACUAUUUAUAACUGAUGAUCUUUUUCAAGGUCACCAAUCACAAGAAACCCAUGUGUGCUGGCCGUCCUAUCGGCAUGCGCCACGGUUAUUGAUUUUUCAAUUUACCACGGGCAAGUGUUGCGCAAUGACGACAACACAAAAACAGGUUGCGGCUUGUUGCGGCAUCCCCCACGCACACGCCACCGAGCGGGCCCAACCAAAGAGGACAAAAACCCAGACCGCCACAUAUCCGGCGCCGCUCGGUCGUCUGUGUUUUUCCUUUUUUUUCCCUAUUUUCUUUCGAUAACAAAAGACAGGCUUUACACGAAAAAAAUGCAAAGGUUCUUUCCGACUUUUGUUUUUUUUUCCGAUUUUCUUUUCUGUGCUGGGCUGUCGGGCAUCAUAGACGCUUUUGGACUAUGCGCUGUAUCAGUGGGGCGAAAGGCGUGUUUCGCCAAUGAUCCGGCACGCCAUGCACUCUUGGGCGUCACACGGCGGAUCGGCACACGGGACCCGAUGCGCGGCGACAAACCCCUGCACGCAGCGAUCGCCGGACCAGGUGCCGAUGACGCGUGACCCGUCGGCAAAGGUGCACGCCCCAUAGCCCACGGAUUCAUCGUUGAUCCACAUGCCCUCGUGGCGCGCCGUGAUGCUGGCGUCCUCGCGCAACACGCGUGGCGGUGCCGCAUACAGACAGGCCCCGUUCAUGCGGCCAUCGCUCCAUUGGCCCAUGAAGAGACAGCCGUCGGCCGACACGUGGAUGCCCCACCCGUGGGGCCGGUUGGCCCACCACUGACCGCGGUAGACGCCGCCCCUCGGGUAAAAGACGGUCCCAUGGCCGCAGCGGUCGCCGUCGACCCAUUCGCACGCAUAGCGUCGGCCCGACACGGUGCAAUCGAGCACGCCAUAGCCAUUCUCGUCGCCGCGUGCCCACCCGCCCUCGUAGCGACUGCCGUCGGCAUAGGUGUAGACGCCGUGACCGUGUUCGCGGUCUCUCUGCCACUCACCGUCAUAGGCAUCACCGGCGGUCCACACGCACCGGCCGCGCCCAUGGCGCAGGCCACAGUCCCAGUCGCCCGUGUAGGUCCAAUGGGUCGUGCUACGCCAGCCGUGGCCGUGUGCAAACCCGCCCUCCCAGAGGCCCUCGUGGCGUGAACCGUCGCGGUACGUGCGCGCGCCUUGGCCGCACAUGCGCCCCGCGCGCCACUGACCCUCAUAGUGGGCGCCCACUGACUGAUCGCUGUCGCACCGACGUCGCCGUGCCGUGGAGCCAUCGCGAUGAUGUGUGGGCAGGCUCAGGGCCAAGCCAUAACCAUCAGGCAGGCCGCCGACGAGGUCGCCCCAAUAGAUACGACCGAGGUGGAUCGUGGCGCCCACCUGGGUCGUGAGCGUGCCCGUGCAGGCCUGUGCGCGAUAGAGCCAGCGCCAGUCUUUGCCCGCCUCUAAAAACCCGCGAUGGAGAGGCGCGCCAAAGCGCCUCAUGCAGAGGGCGCGCCACACUGUGCCAUCCGUCGCGAGGUCGCGGUAGCGCCGCGCCGUCGACGACAAGUUGACGAGGCUGAAUGCAUCGUCUAGAACAGACAUGAUCAUCAGCACGAGUUCAUCGGGCAAUGUGUCAAACAAGUCGACCCCUUUUGCAUCGUCUGCCCGGUCGGCCUCGGGAGACGCCCUCGUUGCCAUCAUGCGCGCUUUUUCCGUGGGCGCCGCCGCUUUCACCCUUUGCCCUUGCCUGGUGGCGGUGCCACCAUGUCCCCGGCGAGAAAAACAAAGACAUGGACCGCCAUCGCCCCGUGUCGCAAAGUUUGUCCCCCCCCCCCCACCUGGUCGCACAAGACGGAUGAAAACAAAAGCAAAGAAAAGCGUCGCUCUUUUCUUUUGCUGCCAUUGCAUGGUGGGGCGAAAAAAGAUUCUGUAUUUCCU
rnacentral:lncRNA from 1 species